UUUUAUUUCGGAUAGGAUGGUGUAGAGAGACGUAAUCCGUUUUAUUCAAAAGCCAGUGUACGCCACAUUGUUUUAAAUCGCGGUUUAAAACGCUUCAUCCUAUUGGAUGUGAAUCGUUUUGUCAAGAGUGAGCCCCGGUGGCAUGGAAAUUAUGCAGUAGGUACAUAUACUCUGAAGGCCUAUUAUCUGCCCCGGGGCUUCACGACUUACUACUUUACUAGUCCACGCGGUCGUCAGGGCCAAGAGUUUUGCUAGUUUUACACAAUAUUCCUACUUUCUCACGUGGUCGCGUUAUCCCAAGCGCACCCUGAGGCUAUCUGCAGCUGAGAGUGGACUUGUGGGAGCAGGUCCGGACUGUUCCCCGGUGCUGGUUCGAAGCAUGGCGUCAGCGCAGGAGUUAUGAACAGUCGAGGCGCAUGGAAGCUGGCAAUAACCUGUGACAACAUUAUAAAGAAAAAGCACCGUCAGGCGAAUUUUCUCCUACACCGCUAAAUAGAGUUACGACGGUGGAAUGAAAAAUGACUUUUUUAUGGGGUUUUUGUGACAAAAUCUACACAGAGGCUGAAAUGGAAAAUUACAAAAAUUUAAAUGGGGCUUAAUUGAACUCCAAUGUUUUCCUUCUAUUUGUGGUAAAAGGCCCAAAUGUGUUUGCACGUAUCGUAUUCGUUUAUGCCAUUUACGAUGCUCGGCCUAAUGACAUUCCAAUCGCGCGCCGAGCGCAAGAAACUUGAUUACUCGAGCAAAACCAGUAUAAGAGCGCACUGAAACAAAUUGAAGUGGAUAAUUGUUUUCCGUCGUAUUUUCUUGGAAACGUUCGUAUUUGUCAUGCUAUUUUAGUCAACGUCAGUACUUUUUGUACCGAGACUGACUGAAAUAGCAAGACACGUUCGUAC